UGGGGAAUAUUGCGCAAUGGGCGAAAGCCUGACGCAGCGACGCCGCGUGAGGGAUGAAGGUUUUCGGAUCGUAAACCUCUGUCAGAAGGGAAGAAACCGCACUGUGCUAAUCAGCAGUGCCUUGACGGUACCUUCAAAGGAAGCACCGGCUAACUCCGUGCCAGCAGCCGCGGUAAUACGGAGGGUGCAAGCGUUAAUCGGAAUUACUGGGCGUCAAGCGCACGUAGGCUGCUUUGUAAGUCAGGGGUGAAAUCCCACGGCUCAACCGUGGAACUGCCUUUGAUACUGCUUAGCUUGAAUCCGGGAGAGGGUGGCGGAAUUCCAGGUGUAGGAGUGAAAUCCGUAGAUAUCUGGAGGAACAACAGUGGCGAAGGCGGCCACCUGGACCGGUAUUGACGCUGAGGUGCGAAAGCGUGGGGAGCAAACAGG
rnacentral:rRNA from 1 species